AGUUACCUGGAAUGUUCGAUAACUCUUGUUGUUUUUGAACCUACAUUUACUUUAAAAGGGAUUCCUAUAUUGCCAAGUGGCUGUCAAGCCUCCACUCAUAUGAGGAUUGCAGGGGAAGGCAAAAGUUUGGUUGCGGUCACCCACCUAGCAUCGCUAGGAGUCAAAAGGCAAGAGCCGGCAUUUCGGGGUACUA
rnacentral:other from 1 species